GACGAACCGUGCGAACGUUGUUCGGAAUCACUGGGCUUAAAGGGUGCGUAGGCGGGUUGGUAAGUCCGUGGUGAAAUCCCCAAGCUUAACUUGGGAACUGCCGUGGAUACUAUCAAUCUUGAAUAUCGUGGAGGUAAGCGGAAUAUGUCAUGUAGCGGUGAAAUGCUUAGAUAUGACAUAGAACACCAAUUGCGUAGGCAGCUUACUACACGAUCAUUGACGCUGAGGCACGAAAGCGUGGGGAGCAAACAGG
rnacentral:rRNA from 1 species